GACGAACGCUGGCGGCGUGCUUAACACAUGCAAGUCGAACGGAAAGGCCCUGCUCUUGUUGGGUUCUCGAGUGGCGAACGGGUGAGUAACACGUGAGUAACCUGCCCUUGACUUUGGGAUAUCUUCAGGAAACUGGGGCUAAUACCGGAUAGGAGCUCCUGCUGCAUGGUGGGGGUUGGAAAGUUUCGGCGGUGGGGGCUGGACUCGCUGCUUAUCCGCUUGUUGGUCGGGUAGUGGCUGACGAAGGCUUUGACGGAUAGCCGGCAUGAGAGGGUGACCGGCGACAAUGGGACUGAGGGACGGCCCAGAAUGCUACGGGAGGCAGCAGGGGGGAAUAUUGCGCAAUGGGCGGAAGCGUGAUACAGCAACGCUGCGUGCGGGAUGACGGCCUUCGGGUUGUAAACCGCUUUCGCCUGUGACGAAGAGUGAGUGACGGUAAUGGGUAAGAAAGCACCGGCUAACUACGUG
rnacentral:rRNA from 1 species